rnacentral:rRNA from 1 species
GAUGAACGCUGGCGGCGUGCCUAAUACAUGCAAGUCGAGCGAACAGACGAGGAGCUUGCUCCUCUGACGUUAGCGGCGGACGGGUGAGUAACACGUGGAUAACCUACCUAUAAGACUGGGAUAACUUCGGGAAACCGGAGCUAAUACCGGAUAAUAUAUUGAACCGCAUGGUUCAAUAGUGAAAGACGGUUUUGCUGUCACUUAUAGAUGGAUCCGCGCCGCAUUAGCUAGUUGGUAAGGUAACGGCUUACCAAGGCAACGAUGCGUAGCCGACCUGUGAGGGUGAUCGGCCACACUGGAGCUGAGACACGGUCCAGGCUCCUACGGGAGGCAGCAGUAGGGAAUCUUCCGCAAUGGGCGAAAACCUGGCGGAGCAGCGCCACGUGAGUGAUGAAGGUCUUCGGAUCGUAAAGCUCUGUUAUUAGGGAAGAACAAAUGUGUAAGUAACUAUGCACGUCUUGACGGUACCUAAUCAGAAAGCCACGGCUAACUACGUG